AUGUUAGCAAAACAGUGUUGGCGACUAAUCCAGAACCCGGAUUCUUUAUGUGCACGUGUGUUGAGUGCUAAAUAUUAUCCCGAUGGCAAUAUAUUAAAGGCUGGUCCAAAGAAGGGAUCUUCAUAUACUUGGCAGAGCAUUGUAGCAGGCAUCCAAACCUUUCGAAGGGGGCGCAUUUGGCGAGUGGGAUCGGGUUCACAAAUAAAUAUUUGGCAUGAUCCAUGGAUAUCGUCCAGCCCGACAUGGAAGGUCGUUACCCCUCGAGGUGCAAUAAUGCUUACUUAUGUGGAAGAGCUUAUUGAUCCACAUACUGGUCAAUGGGAUGAAGUUUUAAUUAAGGAUGUUUUUCCAGUGGACUCCUACAGGAUAUUACAAAUUCCUCUUAAUGCUCAGCUUAUGGAGGACUUUGUGUCUUGGAACCACACUCGAUCCGGGAUGUUUUCAGUCCGGUCUGCAUACCACUGAGAGUUUGAUCAUCAAUUUGGACAGCGACUUGCUCGAGCUGAUGGACAAGGCAACAUGCAAAUAAAUAACAUAUGGAAGAAAGUGUGGAAUUUAAAAAUCCCUGGAAAGAUCAAACACUUUGCAUGGAAAGAGUUACAUGGGUUGCUCCCGUGUUUAGGAAUUCUAUCAGAUAGACACAUACCUCUCAUUCCCCAAUGUCCUAUUUGCCGUGUUGGGUUGGAGGAUGUUCAGCACUGUCUAUUUACUUGUAGUCGAGCGAACAAAGUCUUGAAGGAACUCAGACUACAUGGAAUAAUUUCUGAGGCGGUG
rnacentral:rRNA from 1 species